GAUGAACGCUGGCGGCGUGCUUAACACAUGCAAGUCGAACGAAGCAUUUACUUACGAUCCCUUCGGGGUGACGAGUAUCUGACUUAGUGGCGGACGGGUGAGUAACGCGUGGGUAACCUGCCUUGUACUGGGGGACAACAGUUGGAAACGACUGCUAAUACCGCAUAGGACAUAGGAUCACAUGAUCCAGUGAGGAAAGGUGGCGCAAGCUAUCGCUAAGAGAUGGACCCGCGGUGCAUUAGCUAGUUGGUAGGGUAAAGGCCUACCAAGGCGAUGAUGCAUAGCCGACCUGAGAGGGUGAUCGGCCACAUUGGGACUGAGACACGGCCCAA
rnacentral:rRNA from 1 species